rnacentral:lncRNA from 10 species
CUUUCAUUCACUGCUGAAUUCCCGGAACAUGGAUCGGUACCUGCACAUAGUCCUGAACUGUGUGAAUAAAAAUAUUGCAUGCAAUUCUGAACCCUGACUUGAAAAUAGGACACAUCUUCAAAGACAGUAAGGAAAAGAAAUAUAGAGUGAGAAGAGAGAAAGACUGGAAGAGGAUAGGUUCUUCUUAAGCCAUGACCCGGAAACAGGACAGCAUGCACUCCAACGUGGCUGGCUGGAACUCAAACUCAGCCACACCCAACUCCAAACAAAUCUGGGAAAGAGGUUCUAGCUGAGAAGAAAAGAAAGCAUGAAUUCUAAUUAACAGCUUGCAUUCUCUGCUACAGCUUAAGUUUCUCAGUGCUUAGAAGCACUGAUCAGGAAUUGGAUCCAUGGUGCUACCCAGAUCCCUCAGAAGGCAUAUCCCUGCCUGGUGGAUUUUCGAUUGGAAUAAAAUAAGAUGACAUGAAUGUACAGAGACGAUGGAUGGCUUGAGCUGAUGGGCAGCAUUUGGAAUUGGGUUUUGUUUUCUUCAAGAACUGUGGUGUCAUUUUUCUUCGUCUUUCCCUGUCUCUGCUGAUUCUGUCUAGGGGAUGUCUUUUAAUGUGAAAAAUUGAGUAAUAGCUUCAUAAGAAGUCCUGAGAAAACAACUCCUGGAUUCCAACUUAUCUUCAGUGCACAUAACCUUCUCCCACAGAGUGAAGGGCUUAUUUUUAUUCAAUUAAGCCUCAAUUAUGUUCCAAGAAAUCAGUCUCCAGACUAAAUGUGAGCAAGUAGCAGGUAAUAAACAAACAAGACACAUCAUGCUUUUGCCUUGGGCUUCUUUGAAUCACUUAUGUCUGCUUUAAAGAGUUUUGGUGAGGUUAUCUAAUGAGAGACAGAAAGGCAGACAAAGAGAAGUGUUUCCUUGUCUUCUCCUGGGAGAAGAAUAUGACCAUAGAACAUUUCUAGCUAUCUUGGGAGGCAGAUCUUCUCUAAACAUGAGAGAACUUCAUGAGCUGGAUUCUCCUCAUUGUUGAUAUGCUAAAGGGGAAACAACAGAAUCUGUAAAAUACCAUCCCAAGCCUUGUUUAUAUGAUUAUUCUUCGUGCUGUAAAAUUCUAGUGUGCAUGUCAGGAGCUGAAGAGUAUGUUCUACUGGCUUUCUUUCUGUAACCAAAUCCUAAUUUUCUUCUAGGCAGAUGGAUUCCUCAGGUGAAUUAGGGCAAAGUUAAUGUGCUCACAGAGACAACAGGGAAAAGAAAUCAAUAAUAAAAUAUUGACCACAAUACAUAUCAUGUGUGGGUAUCCCUAAGAAAUAUUUCAAGGCCAUGGAAAAAUGUGGAGACUCCAGAAUGAAUGAUGUAAAUUUACUUACAAGUGUGAUUUUUAUUCAAAUUCUAGUUACUCCUUGGCUGAAAUAGAGUGAAAAUUUAGAAAUAUUUGCAAAUGGGGUGUCUUCCCAUUACAAUGAAAACAUCUCCACAGUCACCAUAUAAUCAGGCACCCUGCAGCUAUCUCACUUAAGACAUGAUACUGCCCAGUCACCUAAGCCUCAAUUUCAUAUAUAAUCUUAUUCUGCAUAUAAACCAAUAUUCUUACAAGAGCUUUUUGUUUGGUGAUAUUUUUUUGGUUCGGUUUUUGUUUGUCUCAUCAAGUCUCCAUCUAACUCUGUCUAAAUUUAUCAAAAAUAUUUUAAGAUAAAGACUCAUUGUCUUUAUUUGAUGUUAAGAUGUAUUAAUUAUGAGCAAUUCUAAUGUGGUUAGCAAGUUUGAGCUUUAAAAUAGCUUUUUAUGUCUCAUUGAUGGAUUUGAAUAACUUUCACUCAUAAACUGCCCAUUAAAAUUUCUGUUCCGUUUAUUUGUAAG